rnacentral:rRNA from 1 species
AACGAACGCUGGCGGCAUGCCUAACACAUGCAAGUCGAACGAGACCUUCGGGUCUAGUGGCGCACGGGUGCGUAACGCGUGGGAACCUGCCCUUAGGUUCGGAAUAACUCCCCGAAGGGGGUGCUAAUACCGGAUAAUGUCUUCGGACCAAAGAUUUAUCGCCUUUGGAUGGGCCCGCGUUGGAUUAGCUAGUUGGUAGGGUAAAAGCCUACCAAGGCGACGAUCCAUAGCUGGUCUGAGAGGAUGAUCAGCCACACUGGGACUGAGACACGGCCCAGACUCCUACGGGAGGCAGCAGUGGGGAAUAUUAGACAAUGGGCGAAAGCCUGAUCCAGCAAUGCCGCGUGAGUGAUGAAGGCCUUAGGGUUGUAAAGCUCUUUUACCCGGGAUGAUAAUGACAGUACCGGGAGAAUAAGCUCCGGCUAACUCCGUG